UACGAAGGGGGCGAGCGUUGUUCGGAUUUACUGGGCGUAAAGGGCUCGUAGGCGGCCAACUAAGUCGGAUGUGAAAUCCCCAGGCUCAACCUGGGAACUGCAUCCGAUACUGGAUGGCUUGAAUCCGGGAGAGGGAUGCAGAAUUCCAGGUGUAGCGGUGAAAUGCGUAGAUAUCUGGAGGAAUACCGGUGGCGAAGGCGGCAUCCUGGACCGGCAUUGACGCUGAGGAGCGAAAGCUAGGGGAGCAAACGGG
rnacentral:rRNA from 1 species